GCGGCCGACUUGGGUGGAUUCAGAGCUUCACAGCUAAGGGCCUGCGGCCCACAGAUUCCAUGAAAUCCUUGAAGGGGACCGGAACUCCAAAGAUCAACCGUGAAGGUGGAGGGAACUAUAUAAGAGUGUGAACACUGGGAGGCAGGAAUUUGGAUCACCCUGAAGACUGUCUACCACAGUGUCUAUAAAGGGAUGUUUGUACAGCAAACUGCCUUGGAAGAUAGUGUUUCCUUCUGGAGCAGAGGGUAGGCCUGAAGACUAAUUAUAGAAAGGAUAACAUUCCCCCUCCAGAGCAAAGGUUGGGUUCUCUCUGUACUUUUGCUCACCAGUACAUAGAACUAGAACUCUAAAGUGGCUGCUCCAUGGGCCCCUAAAGGGCAUAGCUUCCAAGUGGCUAUACCAGUUGACAUUCCUACCAACAACACAUAAGGAUUUCUUUUUCUCCACAUCCUUAUGGAUAAUUGCCAGUGACAGUCAACUAGCUUAAGAAAACAAAACUUCAUGUACCUGCAAAGCACAGGAAUGAACUCUAGUCAUAUCUGGAACUGAGACUCAAAUGACAUCAGCAGAAGUUUGUCUUAAGCCAUCACUUUGCUCUGAUUUUAUUUUAUUUUUGGACUAUCUUCAUUCUGGUGUUUCCUAUAUGGUGGCAAAGGUGGCCAUCAUCAACUCUAAGUUUAUAUCAUUCUUACAUCUGGGGGUUUAAGGCAAAAGAAAGUGUAUUUUUCUAAGUCCUCCAUGCAAAAUUCUGAGGGAUGACCCUUCUUGGUCCAGACUGAGUCACACAU